rnacentral:rRNA from 1 species
GAUGAACGCUGGCGGCGUGCCUAAUACAUGCAAGUCGAGCGAACAGACGAGGAGCUUGCUCCUCUGACGUUAGCGGCGGACGGGUGAGUAACACGUGGAUAACCUACCUAUAAGACUGGGAUAACUUCGGGAAACCGGAGCUAAUACCGGAUAAUAUAUUGAACCGCAUGGUUCAAUAGUGAAAGACGGUUUUGCUGUCACUUAUAGAUGGAUCCGCGCGCAUUAGCUAGUUGGUAAGGUAACGGCUUACCAAGGCAACGAUGCGUAGCCGACCUGAGAGGGUGAUCGGCCACACUGGAACUGAGACACGGUCCAGACUCCUACGGGAGGCAGCAGUAGGGAAUCUUCCGCAAUGGGCGAAAGCUUGACGGAGCAACGCCGCGUGAGUGAUGAAGGUCUUCGGAUCGUAAAACUCUGUUAUUAGGGAAGAACAAAUGUGUAAGUAACUAUGCACGUCUUGACGGUACCUAAUCAGAAAGCCACGGCUAACUACGUG